rnacentral:sRNA from 1 species
GCUGCACUUUCCUGCCAGAAAGUCCAAAUAAGCUCGCAAAAUCCAUUUGUAGGAGGACAUUGAAUAGCCAAGC